AGUCAUAUUACAUUGAAACACCAGUUCUUGUAUGAUCACUGAAGUUAAGCAACAUCGUGCCUGGUCAGUACCUAGAUGGGUAACCGCUUGCAAAUACCAGGUGCUGUAAG